GACGAACGCUGGCGGCGUGCCUAACACAUGCAAGUCGAACGGGGUAGCCCUUCGGGGUUACUUAGUGGCGAACGGGUGAGUAACGCGUGAGAAACCUGCCUUUCAGUGGGGGACAACAGUUGGAAACGACUGCUAAUACCGCAUAAUGUAUUUUAGGGGCAUCCCUUUAAUACCAAAGCUUUAUGUGCUGAAAGAUGGUCUCGCGUCUGAUUAGCUAGAUGGCGGGGUAACGGCCCACCAUGGCGACGAUCAGUAGCCGGUCUGAGAGGAUGAACGGCCACAUUGGGACUGAGAUACGGCCCAGACUCCUACGGGAGGCAGCAGUGGGGAAUAUUGGGCAAUGGGGGAAACCCUGACCCAGCAACGCCGCGUGAAGGAAGAAGGCCUUCGGUUGUAAACUUCUUUUGUUCGGGAAGUAAAGUGCAGUACGUGUACUG
rnacentral:rRNA from 1 species